GCGGCUUAAUUUGACUCAACACGGGAAAACUCACCCGGCCCGGACACUGUAAGGAUUGGCAGAUUGAGAGCUCUUUCUUGAUUCGGUGGGUGGUGGUGCAUGGCCGUUCUUAGUUGGUGGAGCGAUUUGUCUGGUUUAUUCCAAUAACGAACGAGACUCCAGCCUGCUAACUAGUACGCGUAUCUCUCAGUGCGCGCUACUUCUUAGAGGGACAAGCGGUGUUCAGCCGCAUGAGAAGGAGCAAUAACAGGUCUGUGAUGCCCUUAGAUGUCCGGGGCUGCACGCACGCUACACUGAAAGGAUCAGAGUGCUAGUUCACCUUGCCCGAAAGGGCUGGGUAACCCGCUCAAAACCUUUCGUGAUUGGGAUAGGGACUUGCAAUUAUUUCCCUUGAACGAGGAAUUCCCAGUAAGUGCGGGUCAUAAGCUCGCGUUGAUUACGUCCCUGCCCUUUGUACACACCGCCCGUCGCUGCCCGGGACUGAGCCGUUUCGAGAAGAACGGGGACCGUAGACGCUUGGCUCUCACGGGCUUUUCGUUUGUGGAAACCGUUUUAAUCGCAGCGGCUUGAACCGGGCAAAAGUCGUAACAAGGUUUCCGUAGGUGAACCUGCGGAAGGAUC
rnacentral:rRNA from 1 species